CUUUGUCAAAAUAAAUGACAGUACUCAGCAGUCGUACCAAAACGAAACAACAAAACUUCUUCCGCUUGAGCCAACAAAGGAAAAAAGGAAGGAGCCAUUCGGCAGAAAGCAAGUGUCGACGGAGCCGUUCAGUGCCAUUUUGUGGUGCCUCCAGUCUUGGGGAAUAAAAAUCAAAAGUGUGUGCGCGAGCAGGAUCGGAGAAAGCAAAUCGCAUCGCUGUAAGUUCCUGUGAAGGGCGGAAUUGUGUACGAAGCAGACGACGGAACGGUCCAUUUCGUUGGCCAUUCGGACACGCGCAACCUUCCGGCUGUAAAGAGCCACAAUCACCGCCAGCCCUCAAGACCACGGACGCAAAUCAACAAAAGCAAAUAGGCGAGGAAAACGGCCGUCGAUACCGGCUUCCGGCAGUAGAAACGCUGGCCUACGAUUGAAUAGCGGCGUGAAAUCACCUACACAAAAGACAAUCCAGAGGCGAAGUUGGCAAGGGCACCGACAAGCACGAGCUGAGAUAGAAUAACAAAGAAAGGCGUCUCUACUACAGGGUGAGUUACCCAAAAAAAGUGCAAGCCUAUGGAGUGAGGCUAAUGUGGAGCCCAUACAGGGCGCCUUUUUUUUAUUUCCCCCUCUUCGCAUUAGGCAGACGAAUUCCUAGCUGGUGGAUGAACGGUGAACUCCGCUCCAAUACCGGAUUGAGACAGUUCCCGCGAAGCCCAAGAGAGUGCUGAACGUCACCGAACGGCAGGGUGUGACGAGCGCUGGAGCUCAAUUCGCUGGUAAUCCAGUCAAACUCAAGCGACGGGAAGAAAGGAAGCAACCGGUCUGAGGCCGGAAAUCCACCACGAAAAGAACGGCGGAGCGACUACCUGUCCGCGGCUGAGAGGAAGGAGCUAAUGCCUAGCGAUCGGCCGAGUGGCUCAACUACAGCGAGAGUUGCAGAGCGUAGGCGGUCCGUGAGUACUAAAAACAUGGUGACUGUGGUCACAGAAGACUAGCCCAAGGGCUGAAGAAGGUAGUGUGCCAUCAGGCAGCAAUGACUGCUCGACAGAUAGAGUAGAAGCUUAGCCCUGGGGGCGUGGGUGUGCAAUUGGCAAAACGAAUAUAUGAUGUGGCUCAAAUGAAUUAGUGGCUCUUUUCUUUCAUUUUGGCUUGAGGAAAACCUUAUACUACGACUGGCGUGAAGUGACAAUUGUCGGUUUCGUAUAGCGAGGUG
rnacentral:lncRNA from 1 species